rnacentral:lncRNA from 1 species
AGUGGGAGUGUGCAGAAAGGGUUGAAGUCUUUGGAGACAGAUAAGCCCGUCUUGCAAUCCUGAUUUAACUGCUGACCCAGCUUUGUGAUCUUCAGCAAGUUCUUCAGCUCUGAACAUCAGCUUCUUUAUCUGUAAGAUGAAAUACAAUAGUAGAUAGAGUGCCUAACCCACAGCAAGUAAGUAGAGUAUUUUCCUUCCCUGGUCUCCCACCAUUUUUUAAAUAAGAAACGUAACUAGAACCUAAAGUCCUAUAGGAUACUGAUUCUCAACUGCUGGUGAUUUUGCCCCUGGGGGACGCUGAGCCACUUCUGCAGACAUUUUUGAUUGUCACAACUGGGGGGAGGGGUACCUUCUGGCAUCUAAACAUCCUGCGAGGCACAAGACAGCCUCUACAACAAAAAAUGACCUAGUCUAAAAUGUCAAUAGUGCCAGUGUUAAGAAGUUUGCUGCAGGAUAAUCUGGCUAAGAGGUCAUUCAUGGUAGCCUAGUUCCACCUUUUUAACUUUCAUCACCAAGAAAAGAGUUAUGUCUUGCAUCAAGAUGAACAAAGCAUUGUGGGGAUCACAGCAAUUAUUUUCAUACACAAAGCCUUCACUUAACAUGAAGAUGCAAAUUGGAAUUUUAUCUUUUCAUUAUUAAAGGAAUAAAUACAGUCCAGACAUCAUUCCAUGUUUCCAUAUGUCCUCAGACACUUCUGUGUUUUCUCUCUCCUUCAUUCCUCAUUUACCCUGAAGUUGACAGUAUAGUCCCUGCCCCAAGGAACACACAGCCUCCCUUAGAGAUGGAUUAAUGCAGAUGCAACAAUUAAGGAACAAUAGAAGAUAACAUAUAAUUAAGCUUUAAUUGCAGCACCUGACUAAGGUGGCUCAGGAAAGGGAAAUGAGUGCAGGCAGCAAAGCCGGGCUUGCCUGUGGGGCUGAGAUGUUCAGGAAAUGUUUGUUGCAUAAAAUGAAAUAGGAAGAGUUUCUUCCACAGAGUUGGACUCCAGCUGAUAUAUAAACUCCUAUACAGGAUUUAAACUGCUAGGUUUUAUAAAUGGAUAUUGGUGUCUGGCUGUGAAUUUAUUUUUCUUAAAGCAUCUAGUUCAAACUUUUAACCAAACUUCUAUGUUUCCUAAAAUGACCGAACUUUAAUAAAACCAAAACGCU